AGGUUGUCAUGACAAUUUUCACUGAGAAGCUGUUUCUGUAGAGGGAGCAAAAAAAGAAACAGGGGGAAAUGCUUAUUAAAGCCAGGCCUAAUUAGUCAUUGUCUUCCUGAACAAACAGUGAGGAAACCCAGGGGAGGUGACCCCUCAGUGAAUGUAUCCUACAGAAGAGCCGGAUCUGGAACUCUGCUUGAGCAAGCCAGUGUAAAAAUUACAACAGCUUACUGAGCCCUGUGCAGAAGCUGAUAUUGAGAGCAUGGAGGCUUCCUGCUAAAGGCCAGCAUCAGCUUGUCAGCCACACAGGUGAGGCUGGGAGAGGAUCCUCAGUCCUGAUCAAGACUUCAGAUGAGAUCACAGCCCUGGCUGACAUCUGACUGCAACUUCAUGAGAGACCCUGAGCCACAGCCCCCAGCCCAGCCACUCCUGAAUUUCUGGUCCACAGAAACUGUAAGAGAUGUAAAUAAAUUAUUAUUGCUGCUUUUAAGCCACUAAA
ensembl:lncRNA LINC00384 long intergenic non-protein coding RNA 384